GGGAGUAUAGCUCAGUGGUAGAGUGUGUGCUUAGCAUGUAUGAUGUCCUGGGUUCAGUCCCCAGUACCUCCA
rnacentral:tRNA from 1 species